UGACAGGGCACUUCUGGCACCAUAACCAUUACGGUGUGUUGUAGUGGUUAUGGUGCUUGGAGUGUUCGUUUU